rnacentral:rRNA from 1 species
CCUACGGGAGGCAGCAGUGGGGAAUUUUGGACAAUGGGCGAAAGCCUGAUCCAGCCAUGCCGCGUGCAGGAUGAAGGCCUUCGGGUUGUAAACUGCUUUUGUACGGAACGAAACGGUCUCUUCUAAUAAAGGGGGCUAAUGACGGUACCGUAAGAAUAAGCACCGGCUAACUACGUGUCAGCAGCCGCGGUAAUACGUAGGGUGCAAGCGUUAAUCGGAAUUACUGGGCGUAAAGCGUGCGCAGGCGGUUAUAUAAGACAGUUGUGAAAUCCCCGGGCUCAACCUGGGAACUGCAUCUGUGACUGUAUAGCUAGAGUACGGUAGAGGGGGAUGGAAUUCCGCGUGUAGCAGUGAAAUGCGUAGAUAUGCGGAGGAACACCGAUGGCGAAGGCAAUCCCCUGGACCUGUACUGACGCUCAUGCACGAAAGCGUGGGGAGCAAACAGGAUUAGAUACCCUGGUAGUCCACGACCUAACGAUNUCACUAGUUGUUGGUUCGUUCUACUGUACUACUAGUAACGAAGACUACGCGUGAGUAGUACCGCCGNGGGAGGUACGGUCCGGCGAGUUAGUUAACGUACGAAGUUAAGUAGUUAGGCGNGNGAGAGCGACGACGACGACGACGGAGGAGGAG